GACGAACGCUUGCGGCGUGCUUAACACAUUCAAGUCGAACGGACCCUUUGGGGUUAGUGGCGAACGGGUGAGUAACACGUGGGUGAUCUGCCCUGCACUUUGGGAUAAGCCUGGGAAACUGGGUCUAAUACCGGAUAGGACUACGCACUGAAUGGUGUGUGGUGGAAAGCUUUUGCGGUGUGGGAUGGGCCCGCGGCCUAUCAGCUUGUUGGUGGGGUGAUGGCCUACCAAGGCGACGACGGCUAGCCGGCCUGAGAGGGUGCCCGGACACCCUGAGACUGCCAUCACGCCCAGACUCCUACAGGCGGCAGCAGCGGGGAAUAUUGCACAAUGGGCGCAAGCCUAAUCCGGCGACGCCGCGGAAGGGAUGACGGCCUUCGCGUUGUAAACCUCUUUCGCCAGGGACGAAUCGCAAGUGACGGUACCUGGAGAAGAAGGACCGGCCAACUACGUGCCAGCCGCCGCCGUAAAAC
rnacentral:rRNA from 1 species